GUUGGGAACUGGUGACAUAUUUUGAAAAAUGCCGUAAUGAACAAUGUCAACAAUACACCAUACCGCAGUGUGGCUAAAUAAAAAACCAAGCUAAACGAACUCUGGAAUUUGCAGUCAACCCCCUACCUGAGCAUAAAACAAAGCACAAACAUUGUUGUGCUCCAUCAUGAAUCAAAGCAGUGAGUUUUCCUCUAAUAAAAAAGCACUCAAUCAAAACCCGCGCUUCCGUAUUAGCAUGCAGUGAGCUUAUCGCACGGAAGCAUAACGGUAAAAGCGAUACCGCUCUUGCACUCCAGACAACGAAUGGAUUCGCUGUCUAUUGUGCUCGGUUUUUCUGCAACACACAUACUUUCACGGACCUUCACUACCGUUCUAAGCAUAGUUGUCCCAUGUUCUACACAAACCUUAAGUACGCUGGGACAAUUUUGCUUGGAACGGCAGUACAAUAGCGAUGGAGAAUAAAUUACCGUUCCGAACUGCCCUAGGGACUGCACAAAAGAGUAGAAAAUGCGUUUCAAGUAAUCGCUCGAGUGCUCGCGUGUACAGUACGUGUAUAACAGCAUAAAAACUUCCACACCGGUACCGUAACUCUACGGGCCAGCAAUUUUACAUUGCUCAAUUCGUCGUCCCGUGUUUAAUGUUGUGUCCGGUUCCGUAUGGCGAAAUGGUCGAGGUUAAAAAUGAUCAAACUAAAGCAACAAAGAACAUUUGUUACCAAUCUUAAGACCCCUACUAGAAGCUGAUCCCAGAAAAAUUGAACAACGCGGCACGAGAGUAGAAAUCGUGACCCAUUUCUGACAGCAUCACAUGUUAAAAAAAAACUUAAAAAAAAAAGAAAUUAAUAAUGUACUUCACGUACACGCUUUCCGUGCUGAGAAAAGUCUGGUAGGCUUACCUUCCUGAAGCCUAUCAAAGCAAGACGUCACACGGUUCACCGCAUGUUUACGCCGAAAUGUUCCCUCAAGCUAACACCAUACGCCAAACUAAAUUUUAUGCUCCACU